UAACCCUGGAACGAGCAUAGUCUCAACAGAUCUUUGCACCGCUCCCAUACGUCAAAGAGAGACUCCCCGUCCUCCUGCCUAAAUUUAUUGAUCUCGCUUCUAAGAUG